rnacentral:rRNA from 1 species
CUCAACUAAGAACACCUUCCGGUACCCUUACUAUGUUACGACUUAUCUCAUUUCUCAACGAGAGCGACGGGCGAUGUGUGCACGUCUUAGAGCUAAAUUCAAUAAAUCUUUCUAAUAUAAUAUUUACUUUUAAGUCCACCUUCAUUCCCCUGUUUUCAAAGAAAAUUCCGUAUAAAAAUUAAUUUAUUGUAAUUCAUUUCUACUUUUUCAUUAGCUGCACCUUGAUCUGACGUAAAGGAUAAUAACCGCAAGGCAAAAAAUCCUACUAGCUAACUCCAAGAUUUUCAAAAAGUAACCUGACGACGACGGUAUACAGACUGUCUUUACAAAAAAAAGUAAGGUAACCCGCGGAUUAUCGAUCACAGAACAAAUUCCCCUAAAAAGAUUUAAGACACCGCCAAGUUCUUUGAGUUUUAAGCAUGAGCUCGUACUACCCGGGUAAGCAUACACUAAUAUUUACAUUUUCGAAUAACGGGGUAUCUAAUCCCGGUUUCUACCGAAAACUUCGUGGCCUCAAAGUCAUAGGCUUAAAUAAAAUUAAGUAAUUUAUUCAGAUUCUACCCACAAAAACAACUCUCCUAAGCCUUCCCGACUAAAACUUCCUAACCACAUUUUUACCGAAAUCAUUAACAAGGCCCACCUGUAUAACCGCGGUAGCUGGCACAGGUUUUACCGGACCUCUUGACAAUCACUAAAUCGAGCUCUCGCCCAUCUACUUUAAUCUUCAAUACUGGUGUAAUCAAGUGAAAUACUCUAGACGUCAUACAAAAAUUUAUGCCAAACUAAACAAGUAAAUAAAAUAUUAAAUUCUUCAUACCUCUUAUAGUUUACUACUCACUAACCCCCUAAAGAACCAUGUAUUUUUUGUAAUCAAAGCUAAAGUAAGAGCCAGAACCAAACUCC